rnacentral:rRNA from 1 species
GAUUAAGUUAUUAAGGGCGCACGGUGGAUGCCUUGGCACUAGAAGCCGAUGAAGGACGUUACUAACGACGAUAUGCUUUGGGGAGCUGUAAGUAAGCUUUGAUCCAGAGAUUUCCGAAUGGGGAAACCCAGCAUGAGUUAUGUCAUGUUAUCGAUAUGUGAAUACAUAGCAUAUCAGAAGGCACACCCGGAGAACUGAAACAUCUUAGUACCCGGAGGAAGAGAAAGAAAAUUCGAUUCCCUUAGUAGCGGCGAGCGAAACGGGAAGAGCCCAAACCAACAAGCUUGCUUGUUGGGGUUGUAGGACACUCUAUACGGAGUUACAAAGGACGACAUUAGACGAAUCAUCUGGAAAGAUGAAUCAAAGAAGGUAAUAAUCCUGUAGUCGAAAAUGUUGUCUCUCUUGAGUGGAUCCUGAGUACGACGGAGCACGUGAAAUUCCGUCGGAAUCUGGGAGGACCAUCUCCUAAGGCUAAAUACUCUCUAGUGACCGAUAGUGAACCAGUACCGUGAGGGAAAGGUGAAAAGCACCCCGGAAGGGGAGUGAAAUAGAACCUGAAACCGUGUGCUUACAAGUAGUCAGAGCCCGUUAAUGGGUGAUGGCGUGCCUUUUGUAGAAUGAACCGGCGAGUUACGAUUUGAUGCAAGGUUAAGCAGUAAAUGUGGAGCCGUAGCGAAAGCGAGUCUGAAUAGGGCGUUUAGUAUUUGGUCGUAGACCCGAAACCAGGUGAUCUACCCUUGGUCAGGUUGAAGUUCAGGUAACACUGAAUGGAGGACCGAACCGACUUACGUUGAAAAGUGAGCGGAUGAACUGAGGGUAGCGGAGAAAUUCCAAUCGAACCUGGAGAUAGCUGGUUCUCUCCGAAAUAGCUUUAGGGCUAGCCUCAAGUGAUGAUUAUUGGAGGUAGAGCACUGUUUGGACGAGGGGCCCCUCUCGGGUUACCGAAUUCAGACAAACUCCGAAUGCCAAUUAAUUUAACUUGGGAGUCAGAACAUGGGUGAUAAGGUCCGUGUUCGAAAGGGAAACAGCCCAGACCACCAGCUAAGGUCCCAAAAUAUAUGUUAAGUGGAAAAGGAUGUGGCGUUGCCCAGACAACUAGGAUGUUGGCUUAGAAGCAGCCAUCAUUUAAAGAGUGCGUAAUAGCUCACUAGUCGAGUGACACUGCGCCGAAAAUGUACCGGGGCUAAACAUAUUACCGAAGCUGUGGAUUGUCCUUUGGACAAUGGUAGGAGAGCGUUCUAAGGGCAUUGAAGCAUGAUCGUAAGGACAUGUGGAGCGCUUAGAAGUGAGAAUGCCGGUGUGAGUAGCGAAAGACGGGUGAGAAUCCCGUCCACCGAUUGACUAAGGUUUCCAGAGGAAGGCUCGUCCGCUCUGGGUUAGUCGGGUCCUAAGCUGAGGCCGACAGGCGUAGGCGAUGGAUAACAGGUUGAUAUUCCUGUACCACCUAUAAUCGUUUUAAUCGAUGGGGGGACGCAGUAGGAUAGGCGAAGCGUGCGAUUGGAUUGCACGUCUAAGCAGUAAGGCUGAGUAUUAGGCAAAUCCGGUACUCGUUAAGGCUGAGCUGUGAUGGGGAGAAGACAUUGUGUCUUCGAGUCGUUGAUUUCACACUGCCGAGAAAAGCCUCUAGAUAGAAAAUAGGUGCCCGUACCGCAAACCGACACAGGUAGUCAAGAUGAGAAUUCUAAGGUGAGCGAGCGAACUCUCGUUAAGGAACUCGGCAAAAUGACCCCGUAACUUCGGGAGAAGGGGUGCUCUUUAGGGUUAACGCCCAGAAGAGCCGCAGUGAAUAGGCCCAAGCGACUGUUUAUCAAAAACACAGGUCUCUGCUAAACCGUAAGGUGAUGUAUAGGGGCUGACGCCUGCCCGGUGCUGGAAGGUUAAGAGGAGUGGUUAGCUUCUGCGAAGCUACGAAUCGAAGCCCCAGUAAACGGCGGCCGUAACUAUAACGGUCCUAAGGUAGCGAAAUUCCUUGUCGGGUAAGUUCCGACCCGCACGAAAGGCGUAACGAUUUGGGCACUGUCUCAACGAGAGACUCGGUGAAAUCAUAGUACCUGUGAAGAUGCAGGUUACCCGCGACAGGACGGAAAGACCCCGUGGAGCUUUACUGUAGCCUGAUAUUGAAAUUCGGCACAGCUUGUACAGGAUAGGUAGGAGCCUUUGAAACGUGAGCGCUAGCUUACGUGGAGGCGCUGGUGGGAUACUACCCUAGCUGUGUUGGCUUUCUAACCCGCACCACUUAUCGUGGUGGGAGACAGUGUCAGGCGGGCAGUUUGACUGGGGCGGUCGCCUCCUAAAAGGUAACGGAGGCGCUCAAAGGUUCCCUCAGAAUGGUUGGAAAUCAUUCAUAGAGUGUAAAGGCAUAAGGGAGCUUGACUGCGAGACCUACAAGUCGAGCAGGGUCGAAAGACGGACUUAGUGAUCCGGUGGUUCCGCAUGGAAGGGCCAUCGCUCAACGGAUAAAAGCUACCCCGGGGAUAACAGGCUUAUCUCCCCCAAGAGUUCACAUCGACGGGGAGGUUUGGCACCUCGAUGUCGGCUCAUCGCAUCCUGGGGCUGUAGUCGGUCCCAAGGGUUGGGCUGUUCGCCCAUUAAAGCGGUACGCGAGCUGGGUUCAGAACGUCGUGAGACAGUUCGGUCCCUAUCCGUCGUGGGCGUAGGAAAUUUGAGAGGAGCUGUCCUUAGUACGAGAGGACCGGGAUGGACAUACCUCUGGUGUACCAGUUGUCGUGCCAACGGCAUAGCUGGGUAGCUAUGUGUGGACGGGAUAAGUGCUGAAAGCAUCUAAGCAUGAAGCCCCCCUCAAGAUGAGAUUUCCCAACUUCGGUUAUAAGAUCCCUCAAAGAUGAUGAGGUUAAUAGGUUCGAGGUGGAAGCAUGGUGACAUGUGGAGCUGACGAAUACUAAUCGAUCGAAGACUUAAUCAA